rnacentral:ribozyme from 1 species
AGACAGUCGCGUCAUCCCUUCGGGGGUGCCGAGGAAAGUCCGGGCUCCAUAGGGCGGAGUGCCAGGUAAUGCCUGGGGGGCGUGAGCCUACGGAAAGUGCCACAGAAAAUAACCGCCUAAGCGCUUCGGCGCCGGUAAGGGUGAAAAGGUGCGGUAAGAGCGCACCGCACGUCUGGUAACAGUUCGUGGCUAGGUAAACCCCACUCGGAGCAAGACCAAAUAGGGUUCCAAGGCGUGGCCCGCGCUGGAACCGGGUAGGUUGCU